ACGCUCGACACCUACGGGAGCCACAGUUGGGAAUAUUGGACAGUGGAGGAAACUCUGAUCCAGUGACGCCGCGUGAAGGAAGAAGGUCUUCGGAUUGUAAACUUAUUUUGUCAGGGAAGAAAAAAUGACUGUACCUGAAGAAAAAGCACCGGCUAACUACGUGCCACAGCCGCGGUAAUCUGAGCGGGCUGGCAAGGC
rnacentral:rRNA from 1 species